GCCGGUGUGUUGGAAUUGGUAGACGAGGCAGACUCAAAAUCUGUUGUCAGAAAUGGCGUGUGGGUUCGAGUCCCACCACCGGUACCA
rnacentral:tRNA from 1 species